rnacentral:rRNA from 1 species
AUUGAACGCUGGCGGCAUGCCUUACACAUGCAAGUCGAACGGCAGCGGGGGAGAAGCUUGCUUUUCCUGCCGGCGAGUGGCGAACGGGUGAGUAAUACAUCGGAACGUGCCCUGUAGUGGGGGAUAACUAGUCGAAAGAUUAGCCAAUACCGCAUACGACCUGAGGGUGAAAGUGGGGGACCGCAAGGCCUCAUGCUAUAGGAGCGGCCGAUGUCUGAUUAGCUAGUUGGUGGGGUAAAGGCCUACCAAGGCGACGAUCAGUAGCUGGUCUGAGAGGACGAUCAGCCACACUGGGACUGAGACACGGCCCAGGCUCCUACGGGAGGCGGCAGUGGGGAAUUUUGGACAAUGGGCGCGAGCCUGAUCCAGCAAUGCCGCGUGUGUGAAGAAGGCCUUCGGGUUGUAAAGCACUUUUGUCCGGAAAGAAAUGGCUCUGGUUAAUACCUGGGGUCGAUGACGGUACCGGAAGAAUAAGGACCGGCUAACUACGUGCCAGCCGCCGCCGCAG